rnacentral:tRNA from 1 species
GCAUCUGUCGUAGUUUGGUAAUUACGUCUGGCUUCCAACCAGAAUAUGCGGGUUCGAUCCCGCCAGAUGCUCCA